GGAGAGGAGAGGAGAGGAGAGGAGAGGAGAGGAGAGGAGAGGAGAGGAGAGGAGAGACGAUUCGGAAUAUUUCGCAUCAGUGUUGUGUUAACACAGGCUGACUAUUCAUCACAGCUCAAGCCACCAACCCGCCGCUGCGCUAUUUUUUACGGCAGAGUCACAGUCGGUUCUCGUCCUUUAUGAAUAUGUGCCGCAAAUGGUGUAACAGCCAUGAACCAAUUGCUAAUCCUUUACGUUAUACACAUCACAACAACGUGUCGAAUACAACUGCAUGUUGCCCAGCCUGGCAGAAGUGUAUAGGCUUCUGACUCAGAAAACGCAGCACGUCUAGC
rnacentral:lncRNA from 1 species